rnacentral:lncRNA from 1 species
GCCAGAACUCUGACCCCUCAUUCGCCUGUUAGCUCAUCCAGGAGACCCAGAGCUUCCAGGGAACUCUACUUCCUUAGAACAGAGGUAGUAGGUAAAGUAAUGCAAAGGGCAAGUGCUGGAACAAAAAAUUUGACGACAGCAGUUUUAUUUACCUCCUAGGAAAAUGACUUUUCGUUUGAUGAUAACCAUUUGUUAUGGACCAUGAAGAAGAGAGGUGGAAGAGAAUCUACUGAGAGGUGUGCUGCGAAAACAGUGUUUCUGUAGCCAAGUGUGGGGAAUUACAUAAAAUGCUACAGAGAAGACUAAUAAGAUACGGAGUAAACUGCAUCCACUGGAUUUAGCAACCAAGAAGUUAUUGGCCUUGGAAGUGGAGGAGAGCACUGGUGGAAGAGUAAAAGGAGAUGAAACUGAAGGUUGAUUUCAAAGAACUGAAGAAAACUGAAGCUGUUAAUGUACACUAUGCUUUUCCCAAAAUCUUGGCUGUGAAUGCAAUGGAAAUAAAAGAGUAGACGUGAGAAGAGGGUGUAAAUAUGAGUGGGAUGCAUCUUAAAACAUAGGAGAAGAUGUAGAAAAUGAGAAGAGAGUAAGCAGAAGUGCUAAUG